CACGUAGGGUGCGAGCGUUGUCCGGAAUUAUUGGGCGUAAAGAGCUCGUAGGCGGUGUGUCGCGUCGGCCGUGAAAACCUGCAGCUUAACUGUGGGCGUGCGGUCGAUACGGGCAUCACUGGAGUUCGGCAGGGGAGACUGGAAUUCCUGGUGUAGCGGUGAAAUGCGCAGAUAUCAGGAGGAACACCGGUGGCGAAGGCGGGUCUCUGGGCAGUAACUGACGCUGAGGAGCGAAAGCGUGGGGAGCGAACAGGA
rnacentral:rRNA from 1 species